rnacentral:lncRNA from 1 species
GGCGUUUCUGCGUACAGUCGCCUGUUUCGUUGAUAGAGACACAUUAUUCAGAUCAAGCAGAAACUAGAUCAUAGGAAAACUGAGGAUGCCGCCGAUCCUUUUCACCGAGGUCAGUGGGUUUCCACGCUCUUCUACCCAAAGGCCCGCUGACUAGCCGAGCAGCCCGGGAAUGCUGCUACGCUCGUUUCCACAAGUCCUUUGAGGCCCGCCCUUUGUUUUCAGUUAUUCCAAACUGUCUCUACUAUGCAGUAGACUAAAAUUCACUUUUUCAAGUGUGUGUCUGCUUUAUACAGUGACGCCCUGGGAAAUGAACUGGAGUCUGUACUUCUAGUAUGUCCGUCGUUCCCAGGGCCACCCAUAGAAGAAUCUUGAGAAAGCAUUCUGCAUCAGAAAGAACGGUAGUGGGUUGGUUGGGACUUGUUUUUAAAGUGAUCUGAUAGGCCUUGUUCUGACUGUUCCUUUAUUCUAACAUCUAUAUGUGCUCAUGAAUCCCCACCACCACCACCACCACCUUUUUUCUAUCCAGAUUUUCUGGCUCCAGACAUGUAGAUAGAUGUAGGUUUUGAGUCACCUUAGGCUGGGGGCUCAGACUCCCCUCUCAACUCAAAUGUUUUAAACCUAAGACCUGUGAAUUGUAGAUCUUAGAGGGAAGAGAGCUCCCUCCUACCCCAGUAACCCUGGGCAGUCAUACACGUCUCUUGAUGGAUAGAUCCUGUUUGUAGACAUGCCUCCAUGCCCAAACUAGCACCCUAGAAUUCAGAGCCUCUCCAUCCCGCAGCCGCUGUUUUCUCAUUCCCAUGGCGACCCCUGGAAGCUGUGUUGCUUCAUAUCUCUGUAUUGUGCGGACUUCUCCACAUCCUUGACUAUGUCCCUAAUGGGAUGUGAUUUCUGUGUCUUCUUUCUUUUUAAGGUGAAGUGCAGUAGAGGCUCAAUAGUUGUUUAUGGGUGGACAGCUCCUGCCUUUGCCUCUUUCCUUGUAAAAUAAAACAACCACGUGCCAGGCUGACAGGGCUUUGGUACCAGGGCCUGAGGCAGACUCAGAGUCUACCAUCUUUUCAGGUGAAGGGAAUCAAGAAUAUUCUCCUACUUCGGACAUGAGAAUCAUUUUGAGCAGAAGGGUUGAGAUUUGUUUAAGAGUGGAACCUGCAAAAGAUAUCAAUAUUUUAUCCUGUUUGCAGAAAAUCCUGAGUGGGAAAGGGGGUGGGAAGGGAGUAGGGAAGGGGGUGUGGACAGGGGUGGGCAACAAUAACGUUGUUCUCUUUUCAGGGGUGAGACCUGAGCCCACUCCUGACAGACGCUGUCUCAGGACUAACCUGUCCCUGUCUAUUCUCCUAAGGGUGAUUUAUUUCCCAAAGUCAUUUGACUUUGCCAUAAGUGUCCCUUCUUCCGUCAUCUUUCCCCUACUUUAGGUAUGUGGACCCCAAAUUCUAACCACCCUCUUUGAAUUACUCAGUUUUUGAGAAUUCCCAUGUUUACGCUCAAUACACAUAUUUAGAAGGAAACAACUGUUUGGCCUAUCUUUUCUUGUCAGAUUCAAUUCCAACUAAGAAAUAUGGAGGUUAAAGCAAAAAACAAAACAAACAAAAAAACCAACCCCUAAAU